rnacentral:rRNA from 1 species
AACGAACGCUGGCGGCAGGCCUAACACAUGCAAGUCGAACGCUCCAGCAAUGGAGAGUGGCAGACGGGUGAGUAACGCGUGGGAACCUUCCCUAUGGUUCGGAAUAGCUCAGGGAAACUUGAGGUAAUACCGGAUAAGCCCUUCGGGGAAAGAUUUAUCGCCAUUGGAUGGCCCGCGUAGGAUUAGCUAGUUGGUGAGGUAACGGCUCACCAAGGCGACGAUCCUUAGCUGGCUGAGAGGAUGAUCAGCCACACUGGGACUGAGACACGGCCCAGACUCCUACGGGAGGCAGCAGUGGGGAAUAUUGGACAAUGGGCGCAAGCCUGAUCCAGCCAUGCCGCGUGAGUGACG